UACGAAGGGGGCUAGCGUUGUUCGGAAUUACUGGGCGUAAAGGGCGCGUAGGCGGCCUUGAUAGUUGGGCGUGAAAGGCCUGGGCUUAACCCGGGAACUGCGUUCAAUACUGCGAGGCUAGAGUGUGGGAGAGGUUGGUGGAAUUCCCAGUGUAGAGGUAGAAAUUCGUAGAUAUUGGGGAAGAACACCGGUGGCGAAAAGCGGCCAACUGGACCACAACUGACGCUGAGGCGCGAAAAGCGUGGGGAGCAAACAGGUU
rnacentral:rRNA from 1 species